GAGAGGAGCCCCCGCAGCAGCAGCAGGAGGCUCACGCGGCCACCGAGGAUCCGCAGCCCCAGGACAGGCAGCCACGCCUCCACCACCUGUUCAUGCGGUUGGAACUGAAGGAGCUGGAGAGAGUUUUCCAACGCACCCAGUACCCCGACGUGUUCGCGCGAAAGGAGAUUACCAUAUGUAUGGAUGUGACUCAAACCGAGGCACAGCAACAGAACACAGGCGAGGGAGGUCC